AGUUUGAUCCUGGCUCAGAAUCAACGCUGGCGGCGUGCCUCAGACAUGCAAGUCGAACGCGAAAGUCCCCUUCGGGGGGCAAGUAGAGUGGCGCACGGGUGAGUAACACGUAGGUAAUCUACCUUCGGAUGGGGAAUAACAAUCGGAAACGGUUGCUAAUACCGCAUAAUGCAGCGGCACCUAAUGGUGACAGUUGUUAAAGCGGGGGAUCGAAAGACCUCGCGUCUGAAGAGGAGCCCGCGGCGGAUUAGCUAGUUGGUAGGGUAACGGCUUACCAAGGCUACGAUCCGUAACCGGCCUGAGAGGGCGGUCGGCCACACUGACACUGACAUACGGGUCAGACUCCUACGGGAGGCAGCAGUCGGGAAUUUUGGGCAAUGGGCGAAAGCCUGACCCAGCAACGCCGCGUGAAGGAUGAAAUCCCUCGGGAUGUAAACUUCGCAAGAACGGGAAGAAUAAGUCUGUGUAAAUAUCACAGAUGAUGACGGUACCGUUUGUAAGCUCCGGCUAACUCCGUGCCAGCAGCCGCGGUAAUACGGGGGGAGCAAGCGUUGUUCGGAUUUACUGGGCGUAAAGGGCGCGUAGGCGGCCACCGCAAGUCAAUUGUGAAAUCUCCGGGCUUAACUCGGAAAGGUCAACUGAUACUGCGGGGCUAGAGUGCGGAAGGGGCAACUGGAAUUCUCGGUGUAGCGGUGAAA
rnacentral:rRNA from 1 species